rnacentral:rRNA from 1 species
AUUGAACGCUGGCGGCAGGCCUAACACAUGCAAGUCGAACGGUAACAGGAAGCAGCUUGCUGCUUCGCUGACGAGUGGCGGACGGGUGAGUCAUGUCUGUGAAGCUGCCUGAUGGAGGGGGAUAACUACUGGAAACGGUAGCUAAUACCGUAUAAUGUCGCAAGACCAAAGAGGGGGACCUUCGGGCCUCUUGCCAUCGGCUGUGCCCAGAUGGGAUUAGCUUGUUGGUGGGGUAACGGCUCACCAAGGCGACGAUCCCUAGCUGGUCUGAGAGGAUGACCAGCCACACUGGGACUGAGACACGGUCCAGACUCCUACGGGAGGCAGCAGUGGGGAAUAUUGCACAAUGGGCGCAAGCCUGAUGCAGCCAUGCCGCGUGUAUGAAGAAGGCCUUCGGGUUGUAAAGUACUUUCAGCGGGGAGGAAGGGAGUAAAGUUAAUACCUUUGCUCAUUGACGUUACCCGCAGAAGAAGCACCGGCUAACUCCGUG